rnacentral:rRNA from 1 species
UAAGGGCGCACGGUGGAUGCCUUGGCACUAGAAGCCGAUGAAGGACGUUACUAACGACGAUAUGCUUUGGGGAGCUGUAAGUAAGCUUUGAUCCAGAGAUUUCCGAAUGGGGAAACCCAGCAUGAGUUAUGUCAUGUUAUCGAUAUGUGAAUACAUAGCAUAUCAGAAGGCACACCCGGAGAACUGAAACAUCUUAGUACCCGGAGGAAGAGAAAGAAAAUUCGAUUCCCUUAGUAGCGGCGAGCGAAACGGGAAGAGCCCAAACCAACAAGCUUGCUUGUUGGGGUUGUAGGACACUCUAUACGGAGUUACAAAGGACGACAUUAGACGAAUCAUCUGGAAAGAUGAAUCAAAGAAGGUAAUAAUCCUGUAGUCGAAAAUGUUGUCUCUCUUGAGUGGAUCCUGAGUACGACGGAGCACGUGAAAUUCCGUCGGAAUCUGGGAGGACCAUCUCCUAAGGCUAAAUACUCUCUAGUGACCGAUAGUGAACCAGUACCGUGAGGGAAAGGUGAAAAGCACCCCGGAAGGGGAGUGAAAUAGAACCUGAAACCGUGUGCUUACAAGUAGUCAGAGCCCGUUAAUGGGUGAUGGCGUGCCUUUUGUAGAAUGAACCGGCGAGUUACGAUUUGAUGCAAGGUUAAGCAGUAAAUGUGGAGCCGUAGCGAAAGCGAGUCUGAAUAGGGCGUUUAGUAUUUGGUCGUAGACCCGAAACCAGGUGAUCUACCCUUGGUCAGGUUGAAGUUCAGGUAACACUGAAUGGAGGACCGAACCGACUUACGUUGAAAAGUGAGCGGAUGAACUGAGGGUAGCGGAGAAAUUCCAAUCGAACCUGGAGAUAGCUGGUUCUCUCCGAAAUAGCUUUAGGGCUAGCCUCAAGUGAUGAUUAUUGGAGGUAGAGCACUGUUUGGACGAGGGGCCCCUCUCGGGUUACCGAAUUCAGACAAACUCCGAAUGCCAAUUAAUUUAACUUGGGAGUCAGAACAUGGGUGAUAAGGUCCGUGUUCGAAAGGGAAACAGCCCAGACCACCAGCUAAGGUCCCAAAAUAUAUGUUAAGUGGAAAAGGAUGUGGCGUUGCCCAGACAACUAGGAUGUUGGCUUAGAAGCAGCCAUCAUUUAAAGAGUGCGUAAUAGCUCACUAGUCGAGUGACACUGCGCCGAAAAUGUACCGGGGCUAAACAUAUUACCGAAGCUGUGGAUUGUCCUUUGGACAAUGGUAGGAGAGCGUUCUAAGGGCGUUGAAGCAUGAUCGUAAGGACAUGUGGAGCGCUUAGAAGUGAGAAUGCCGGUGUGAGUAGCGAAAGACGGGUGAGAAUCCCGUCCACCGAUUGACUAAGGUUUCCAGAGGAAGGCUCGUCCGCUCUGGGUUAGUCGGGUCCUAAGCUGAGGCCGACAGGCGUAGGCGAUGGAUAACAGGUUGAUAUUCCUGUACCACCUAUAAUCGUUUUAAUCGAUGGGGGGACGCAGUAGGAUAGGCGAAGCGUGCGAUUGGAUUGCACGUCUAAGCAGUAAGGCUGAGUAUUAGGCAAAUCCGGUACUCAUUAAGGCUGAGCUGUGAUGGGGAGAAGACAUUGUGUCUUCGAGUCGUUGAUUUCACACUGCCGAGAAAAGCCUCUAGAUAGAAAAUAGGUGCCCGUACCGCAAACCGACACAGGUAGUCAAGAUGAGAAUUCUAAGGUGAGCGAGCGAACUCUCGUUAAGGAACUCGGCAAAAUGACCCCGUAACUUCGGGAGAAGGGGUGCUCUUUAGGGUUAACGCCCAGAAGAGCCGCAGUGAAUAGGCCCAAGCGACUGUUUAUCAAAAACACAGGUCUCUGCUAAACCGUAAGGUGAUGUAUAGGGGCUGACGCCUGCCCGGUGCUGGAAGGUUAAGAGGAGUGGUUAGCUUCUGCGAAGCUACGAAUCGAAGCCCCAGUAAACGGCGGCCGUAACUAUAACGGUCCUAAGGUAGCGAAAUUCCUUGUCGGGUAAGUUCCGACCCGCACGAAAGGCGUAACGAUUUGGGCACUGUCUCAACGAGAGACUCGGUGAAAUCAUAGUACCUGUGAAGAUGCAGGUUACCCGCGACAGGACGGAAAGACCCCGUGGAGCUUUACUGUAGCCUGAUAUUGAAAUUCGGCACAGCUUGUACAGGAUAGGUAGGAGCCUUUGAAACGUGAGCGCUAGCUUACGUGGAGGCGCUGGUGGGAUACUACCCUAGCUGUGUUGGCUUUCUAACCCGCACCACUUAUCGUGGUGGGAGACAGUGUCAGGCGGGCAGUUUGACUGGGGCGGUCGCCUCCUAAAAGGUAACGGAGGCGCUCAAAGGUUCCCUCAGAAUGGUUGGAAAUCAUUCAUAGAGUGUAAAGGCAUAAGGGAGCUUGACUGCGAGACCUACAAGUCGAGCAGGGUCGAAAGACGGACUUAGUGAUCCGGUGGUUCCGCAUGGAAGGGCCAUCGCUCAACGGAUAAAAGCUACCCCGGGGAUAACAGGCUUAUCUCCCCCAAGAGUUCACAUCGACGGGGAGGUUUGGCACCUCGAUGUCGGCUCAUCGCAUCCUGGGGCUGUAGUCGGUCCCAAGGGUUGGGCUGUUCGCCCAUUAAAGCGGUACGCGAGCUGGGUUCAGAACGUCGUGAGACAGUUCGGUCCCUAUCCGUCGUGGGCGUAGGAAAUUUGAGAGGAGCUGUCCUUAGUACGAGAGGACCGGGAUGGACAUACCUCUGGUGUACCAGUUGUCGUGCCAACGGCAUAGCUGGGUAGCUAUGUGUGGACGGGAUAAGUGCUGAAAGCAUCUAA